rnacentral:rRNA from 1 species
AGAGAGAGACAUGCGCGCAUAUCAAUAAGCGGAGGAAAAGAAACUAACUAGGAUUCCCUCAGUAACGGCGAGUGAAGCGGGAAGAGCUCAAAUUUGAAAUCUUCAAGGUUCUACCUUGACGAAUUGUAGUUUAAAGAAGUGUUUUCUGUUGGAGUUUUGGUAAAAGUUCUUUGGAAUAGGACAUCAUAGAGGGUGAGAAUCCCGUAUUUGACCAUUAUUUCCAGCUUUGUGAUACACUUUCAAAGAGUCGGAUUGUUUGGGAAUGCAGUCCAAAAUGGGUUGGUAAAUUUCAUCUAAAGCUAAAUAUUGGCGAGAGACCGAUAGCGAACAAGUACCGUUAGGGAAAGAUGAAAAGAACUUUGAAAAGAGAGUUAAACAGUACGUGAAAUUGUCAAAAGGGAAGCGUUUGACACCAGUGUUGUUUUCUCGAAAAUCAAUUAAAAAAGGCAGGAUUUUGUGUUGUAUUGACUUUAUCAGCUUUCUGCACUCUUUUCUUGUCUUUUUUAAUGCACUUUUCGUUUAACAAGUCAACAUCAAUUUCUUUUGUUGUAAAAGGGUCAUUGGAAGGUGGCUUUCUUUUCGGAGAAAGUGUUUAUAGCCUUUGGCCUCUGCAAUCGGAGAGAUUGAGGUCUGCAGCGUAGAUCCUUCGGGGUUAGAUACAUUUGUGCUAAGUUAUAGCCUUUCAUAGACAACUUGUUGACUAUGAUCAGUCAUGUAGCUUACUCGCUUAUGCUAUUUUACCUACGCUUAGGAUGUUGAUGUGAUACUGCGAGCA